rnacentral:rRNA from 1 species
GGACAAUCUACCCUUCGGGGGGGGAUAAUCUCGGGAAACUGAGAAUAAUACCCCAUAGGUCUAGGAUGCUGGAACGCUUCUAAACUGAAAGUUCCGACGCCGAAGGAUGAGUCUGCGGCCUAUCAGGUUGUAGCAAGUGUAAUGCACUUGUUAGCCUACAACGGGUACGGGCCAUGAGAGUGGUUGCCCGGAGAUGGACUCUGAGACAUGAGUCCAGGCCCUACGGGGCGCAGCAGGCGCGAAAACUUCGCAAUGUGCGCAAGCACGACGAGGGAAUCCUAAGUGCCUAUGCUUUGCAUAGGCUGUUCUCCUGUCUAAAAAACAGGGGGAGUAAGGGCUGGGUAAGACGGGUGCCAGCCGCCGCGGUAAUACCCGCAGCCCAAGUGGUGAUCGUUAUUAUUGGGUUUAAAAUGUCCGUAGCUGGUCUAGUAAAUUCCUGGGUAAAUCGAAUUGCUUAACAAUUCGAAUUCCGGGUAGACUGCUAGACUUGGGACCGGAAGAGGUCAGAAGUACUUCUGGGGUAGGGGUAAAAUCCUGUAAUCCUGGAGGGACUAUCAGUGGCGAAAUUUCGGAAGCAAAUCUUCCUCAUUUAUCGUUGCUUCUGCAACGCUAAGGCGUCUGACUAGAACGGAUCCGACAGUAAGGGACGAAGCCCUGGGGCGCAAACGGGAUUAGAUACCCCGGUAGUCCAGGGUGUAAACGCUGUAGGCUUGGUGUUGGGAGUUCUAUGAGGACAUCCAGUGCCGGAGAGAAAUUGUUAAGCCUACUACCUGGGGAGUACGGUCGCAAGACUGAAACUUAAAGGAAUUGGCGGGGGAGCACCGCAACGGGUGGAGCGUGCGGUUUAAUUGGAUUCAACGCCGGGAAUCUCACCGGGGGGCGACGGUUUUAUGAAGGCCAGGCUAAUGACUUUGGCCUAAUUUUCCCAGAAGUGGUUGCAUGGGCCAUCGUCCGA